rnacentral:rRNA from 1 species
GAUGAACGCUGGCGGCGUGCCUAAUACAUGCAAGUCGAGUGAACAGACGAGGAGCUUGCUCCUCUGACGUUAGCGGCGGACGGGUGAGUAACACGUGGAUAACCUACCUAUAAGACUGGGAUAACUUCGGGAAACCGGAGCUAAUACCGGAUAAUAUAUUGAACCGCAUGGUUCAAUAGUGAAAGACGGUUUUGCUGUCACUUAUAGAUGGAUCCGCGCCGCAUUAGCUAGUUGGUAAGGUAACGGCUUACCAAGGCAACGAUGCGUAGCCGACCUGAGAGGGUGAUCGGCCACACUGGAACUGAGACACGGUCCAGACUCCUACGGGAGGCAGCAGUAGGGAAUCUUCCGCAAUGGGCGAAAGCCUGACGGAGCAACGCCGCGUGAGUGAUGAAGGUCUUCGGAUCGUAAAACUCUGUUAUUAGGGAAGAGCAAAUGUGUAAGUAACUAUGCACGUCUUGACGGUACCUAAUCAGAAAGCCACGGCUAACUACGUG